rnacentral:rRNA from 1 species
GCCAGCAUUCAGUUGGGCACUCUAAGGAGACUGCCGGUGUCAAACCGGAGGAAGGUGGGGAUGACGUCAAGUCCUCAUGGCCCUUAUGUCCAGGGCUACACACGUGCUACAAUGGCCGGUACAAAGGGGCGCAAGACCGCGAGGUGGAGCAAAUCCCAAAAAACCGGUCUCAGUUCGGAUUGGAGUCUGCAACUCGACUCCAUGAAGUUGGAAUCGCUAGUAAUCGCGUAUCAGCAUGACGCGGUGAAUACGUUCCCGGGCCUU